rnacentral:tRNA from 1 species
GCCGAAGUGGCGGAAUGGCAGACGCGCACGCUUCAGGAGCGUGUUCCCGCAAGGGGGUGGAGGUUCAAGUCCUCUCUUCGGCA